UGGGUCCAACCUCCCACCCGUGUUUAUUUUACCUUGUUGCUUCGGCGGGCCCGCCUUAACUGGCCGCCGGGGGGCUCACGCCCCCGGGCCCGCGCCCGCCGAAGACACCCUCGAACUCUGUCUGAAGAUUGUAGUCUGAGUGAAAAUAUAAAUUAUUUAAAACUUUCAACAACGGAUCUCUUGGUUCCGGCAUCGAUGAAGAACGCAGCGAAAUGCGAUACGUAAUGUGAAUUGCAAAUUCAGUGAAUCAUCGAGUCUUUGAACGCACAUUGCGCCCCCUGGUAUUCCGGGGGGCAUGCCUGUCCGAGCGUCAUUGCUGCCCUCAAGCACGGCUUGUGUGUUGGGCCCCGUCCUCCGAUCCCGGGGGACGGGCCCGAAAGGCAGCGGCGGCACCGCGUCCGGUCCUCGAGCGUAUGGGGCUUUGUCACCCGCUCUGUAGGCCCGGCCGGCGCUUGCCGAUCAACCCAAAUUUUUAUCCAGGUUGACCUCGGAUCAGGUAGGGAUACCCGCUGAACUUAAGCAUAUCAAUAAGCGGAGGAAUU
rnacentral:rRNA from 1 species